CAAUAGCGUAUAUUAAAGUUGUUGCAGUUAAAAAGCUCGUAGUUGGAUUUGUGGCAGCUGCGUGCCCCCCUGCGCUUGAUUGUGUGGUGGGUUUGGCGCGCGACUCCAUCCUUGGGUGGAACCUGUGUGGCAUUCAGUUGUCGUGCAGGGGAUGCCCAUCGUUUACUGUGAAAAAAUUAGAGUGUUCAAAGCAGGCUUAUGCCGUUGAAUAUAUUAGCAUGGAAUAAUGAGAUAGGACCCUGGUACUAUUUUGUUGGUUUGCGCACCUGGGUAAUGAUUAAUAGGGGUAGUUGGGGGUAUUCGUAUUCCACUGUCAGAGGUGAAAUUCUUGGAUUUUUGGAAGACGAACUAGUGCGAAAGCAUUUACCAAGGAUGUUUUCAUUAA
rnacentral:rRNA from 1 species